CCUACGGGGGGCAGCAGUGGGGAAUAUUGCACAAUGGGCGCAAGCCUGAUGCAGCCAUGCCGCGUGUGUGAAGAAGGCCUUCGGGUUGUAAAGCACUUUCAGCGGGGAGGAAGGCGGUGAGGUUAAUAACCUCAUCGAUUGACGUUACCCGCAGAAGAAGCACCGGCUAACUCCGUGCCAGCAGCCGCGGUAAUACGGAGGGUGCAAGCGUUAAUCGGAAUUACUGGGCGUAAAGCGCGCGCAGGCGGUCUGUCAAGUCGGAUGUGAAAUCCCCGGGCUCAACCUGGGAACUGCAUUCGAAACUGGCAGGCUAGAGUCUUGGAGAGGGGGGUAGAAUUCCAGGUGUAGCGGUGAAAUGCGUAGAGAUCUGGAGGAAUACCGGUGGCGAAGACGGCCCCCUGGUCAAAGACUGACGCUCAGGUGCGAAAGCGUGGGGAGCAAACAGGAUUAGAUACCCCGGUAGUC
rnacentral:rRNA from 1 species